rnacentral:rRNA from 1 species
AUUGAACGCUGGCGGCAGGCCUAACACAUGCAAGUCGAGCGAGCGGCGGACGGGUGAGUAAUGUAUGGGGACUGCCCGAUAGAGGGGGAUAACUACUGGAAACGGUUGCUAAUACCGCAUACUAUCGGAUAACCCAUAUGGGAUUAGCUAGUAGGUGAGGUAAUGGCUCACCUAGGCGACGCUCCCUAGCUGUUCUGAGAGGAUGAUCAGCCACACGGGGACUGAGACACGGCCCAGACUCAUACGGAGGCAGCAGUGGGGAAUAUUGCACAAUGGGCGCAAGCAUGAUACAGCCAUGCCGCGUGUAUGUAGAAGGCCGUAGGGUUGUAAAGUACUUUAAGUCGGGAGGCGUUGCCGACAGAAGAAGCACCGGCUAACUCCGUGCCAGCAGCCGCGGUAAUUG